UAAUAUAAAGAAGAAGAAGAACUGCGAAGCUGGGUGUCGGUUCAAAAGUGACCUGCAGCUUCAAAUGAAUCUCGACCGCAUUUUGUCGCCUUGCCUGCUUUCCUGGACGCAGAGCCACCGCCGGUCAGAGUGAGAGCGUGUCUCUUGGUAUGUAAUGUUUAGGAAAACGAUUUGCGUCGCUGCAAAUAGAAAAUUAGCUUGAUAGCUUCCAGUUCAACGAGAAGGACCUCGCUGCAGCAAACAGAAAGGGGCGGGGCCAGUCCUAUACCUUAUUUGGAAACAAUAAGGUAUAGGAUACCUUAAAGAAGCGGGGUUCAGAGGUCGACUGAAAGAAGUUUGAGAGGUUCUUCCACUGAUGUUCGGCACACGAUCCACAAUGCAAAACCCACAAAGGCAACAAAAGAUCCACGUAUCCGUUUGCAACAUUCGGAACGGAGAGGAGAUUCUUCCGUAUUGCGUGAACGAUAAAUAUUGCUGUCCCCUUUGCUCGUACAGUGCCGAUGCAUCGUACAAGGUACAGAACCAUAUAGCAACAACUGCUAUGGUUCAACAUAACGAAUUCCAUAUAUUCAGAUGUGGCCUACCCUGUAGAGACACAUCUCACUUUCAUUGCCCGUACUGUUUUUCGACCAUUGACAGAAGGGACAGGUUUGUUAAUCACUUGGUUAAGCACACAGCGACUUUCAAUAUGGUGUCCAGCUGUGCAUCAGCCCAGACACUUGUCCAUCCAACAGCUACCAACCUGCAGGCAACACAGACACUUGUCCAUCCAGCAGCUACCAUCCUGCAGGCAGCCCAGCCACUUGUCCAUCCAGCAGCUACCAACAUCCUGGCAGCACAGACACUUGUCCAUCCAACAGCUACCAACCUGCAGGCAACACAGACACUUGUCCAUCCAACAGCUACCAACCUGCAGGCAGCCCAGCCACUUGUCCAUCCAGCAGCUACCAACAUCCUGGCAGCCCAGCCACUUGUCCAUCCAGCAGCUACCAACAUCCUGGCAGCACAGACACUUGUCCAUCCAACAGCUACCAACCUGCAGGCAACACAGACACUUGUCCAUCCAACAGCUACCAACCUGCAGGCAGCCCAGCCACUUGUCCAUCCAGCAGCUACCAACAUCCUGGCAGCACAGACACUUGUCCAUCCAACAGCUACCAACCUGCAGGCAACACAGACACUUGUCCAUCCAACAGCUACCAACCUGCAGGCAGCCCAGCCACUUGUCCAUCCAGCAGCUACCAACAUCCUGGCAGCCCAGCCACUUGUCCAUCCAGCAGCUACCAACAUCCUGGCAGCACAGACACUUGUCCAUCCAACAGCUACCAACCUGCAGGCAACACAGACACUUGUCCAUCCAACAGCUACCAACCUGCAGGCAGCCCAGCCACUUGUCCAUCCAGCAGCUACCAACAUCCUGGCAGCCCAGCCACUUGUCCAUCCAGCAGCUACCAACAUCCUGGCAGCACAGACACUUGUCCAUCCAACAGCUACCAACCUGCAGGCAACACAGACACUUGUCCAUCCAACAGCUACCAACCUGCAGGCAGCCCAGCCACUUGUCCAUCCAGCAGCUACCAACAUCCUGGCAGCACAGACACUUGUCCAUCCAACAGCUACCAACCUGCAGGCAACACAGACACUUGUCCAUCCAACAGCUACCAACCUGCAGGCAACACAGACACUUGUCCAUCCAAUAGCUACCAACCUGCAGGCAACACAGGCACCUGUCCGCUCAGAAGACAUGAUUACAUGUGAAAUGUGCCAUUUGCGCCUGAGAAAAAAGAAUCUUCGUAUUCAUUUGAAAAGAAAACACCAGGAAAAUGUGGAGCUGAUUUCACAAAAUCAUCAUUUAAGGAGUCAGUGUGUGGAUGCCAAAAAAGGUGUUUUUGCUGUUGAGAAAUCCUUUUAUGGUCCAUCAAAACCUUUACAUGUAAUAAAAAACACCUGGUCACAGUUUCACAGAUCAGAAUGUGAGCUUGACAGGUGUAAUGUGAAUGCACAGUUUGCCAAGCGAAGUGGGAUUUUGCCUUUUGAGUGUGAACACAUUCAGUCAUUACGCUUUUGUUCACUCGCCACAGACUCAGAAGGACCUCUGUCUGAAACUACCCUCAACAUCCUGGUUGACAACUUAUGGUUCAGUUUUCAAAGAAAAGAAGAACUUUUAAAAAAUCAGCAGGAGGCGCUAUCAAAUAAUACGCCGUUUUCAGUUCUUCUUUUUGGCAGUGGGACAGACACAACUUUUCACGUGUCUGUCUUUGAACCUAAAAUGGUGUUUUUCAGCAGACUUGGACGGGUCAUCGUCACUUAUGACAAAGGAAAAAACACCUGGCAUUGUGCAUGUACAGAGGGCAAAAGGUCCUGUACGCACAAGGCUACAGCAAUGUGGCAUCUCUUUGAAAAAAUGCCAGACAUGUUCAAAGAGGCAGUGAAUUCAGAGGAGGAUGUUAUGUGUGGGACAACAGUAUCAGAAUGUCAGGAGGAUAGUGGUUCCAUCACCGAUGAAGCAGCAGAGAGGAUAAUCAAGUACUUGAUUUACCAGAAGAAAAUACCUGCCGAUCUUCCCGACAGCCUUAUCACCAGCAGUAGAGACGCCAAGGCUCUCAGUGGGUUCCCCAAACAUCUGAUCCCAUCAGAGACCGAAUGCACAGAAUGUGGACAACACGCCAGUCUUGGUGACCCUCAGUUGGUAUCUUCCACUGCUAAAAUAUUGACUAUGACAGGAGUAGUUAAAGGUAUAUCAACAUACAGGAAGACUUGCCCCACCUGUUCCAUGGUUUACCGAUAUCAAGACUGGGAAGAUGGUGUCCACAACUUCAACGAUCACUUGCUGCUGUCCAUACAUCUGUGUCUGGUACUCAGGAAUGCAUUGCAGACUCACACCGCUGUAAGUCGCAUAAUCGAAAUGAUCGAAUACACAGAAGGAGAGAACUUUCCUAACAAGGAUCGGAUCCUGCAGGCAUAUCUGUCGUUUGAAGGUCUAAGUGACCAUGAUUACCAAUACUCAUGCAUUUCGUGUGGGUAUCAUCCUGCAGUUGUUGUCAUGGAACGCCAUAAGAAAGGUGUUUUCAGCAUGCCAGUUAGUGAAAUACCAAACCCACCUCAACACUAUAAUGGCAAAGUGAAUGCACGCUCUUUUUGGGAAGCGGUUACUAUGGAAGUGAUUAGCCGUGGACUUUAUCCGCCUGGCCGCAGGAAUCCUUUUGUUGUAAAAGCUACUUAUCACAACUGGUCCCCCUGGAUUGGACCACAGACGAGACGAUCUGACAUUUUGAUGAACACAGAGAGUGAAAAAGUCCACUUGCCUGAUUCCAACAGUGAUGUAGACCAGUUUCUCACAGAAGAGCGGCUUGCAGAUGAGGUUCUCAAUCUCAAGCUAUCUGAGAUCAGGAGACUCUGCAGUCAAUGUGGAAUUGACAGCACAGGUUCUAAGAUGGAUCUUGUGCUCCGUCUGCAGGACAGAAUGGCUUCUAGAGCCACACAUAACGAGGUUUUUGAUAAAGUGUGCGGUGCCUCUGGUGGGUGGGCUGUAAUCACUUGUCCCUGUGGCGUUAUUUAUUCUGUAAAGUUUAACCUGAGAGCGGAGAGCCCUAGAGACUUUGCAGACCUUCUUUUGUCCUGGAAGUUUUUUCCAAAUAUUACGGUGUACGACAACCCCAGGGGAUUAGUAAGUCAUCUAAAGAAGAGGUGCCCUGAGGAUACACCAUUUACCAUCCACGAAGGUAGAUUGGUUGAGCCCACACCUGAAAACAUAAGACAAGCUACUGAGAAAAACCUCGCUGUGAACCUGCCCUGGUUGAAUAACCGGAAAGAACCUGGAGACAAGGGAGGACAUCCUGUUACUGGCUCAUUAGAGCAUUAUUGUCUCAGUGAUGUUUCCCGCCGAGGCAAUAGCAAGGACGACGAGGAUGACGAGGACGUCUUGCGGCGGAUUGAGAUGGUUCCGGAACUUGCAGGAAGAUUAAACAGUCAGUGUGCAAAGCAACUAUUUGCAGGCAUGAGGAAGAACAACUACUUCCUCAACACGCUCACCCCAUCCACGCACGUCUUUCUGCAAAGAAACAUCCUCCACCAUUUCAAUCUUCGGAAGAACACAGAAGCCAAACAAGGAAUUCUAAAAUUUUGGUCCUAAACCAAAAUGGAUGCAUUUCUAACGGGCUGUGAGAAAAACCAGCAACAUGCUUGCAGCUUGGAAGCCAGCGUUGUUCGAACUCACCAAUGUCCUCUUGCUGACUCUUUGACAAGCUUAAAACCAACUGAAGCAAAUAAAUCCACCUGGAGUCAACAGCCUAAUACCACAGAAACGACUUUGUGUUCCCAAUAGUUUUCUACUGGAGAAAAUCAGUCAUGAAGUAAAAAGUGAAAUUUCCACAAACCAGCAGUAUAAACACAUUCUUGCUCAAGUAUUAGACCAAACCAGAGAUGAAGGUGAAUAUGUUGCUUGUGUUGAUGGGCAGGUCCUCACUAGAAGAGAUGUGUUCACUCUUGGGUUGUUGCAAGACGUCAAUGGGCAGAUGCCUUUGAAUGUACUUGAAGCUGUUCUCCAGGAGGUGGCGCUAGCACAGGGAGACUCGGCUUACCUCACCUUGGCAUUGACCUGCAAGUGCUUUGAAGCCAUUGUGUCUGAUCCAGUUUUCAGGAAGAAGACUCACUUUGCUUGGCUGGAUGGUGAGAUCAACUUGGGGCAAAUUUUCAGAGUCAUUCAAGGCAGAAAACCGGAUUCCUUUUUGCGGUUGUAACGUUUUCUUCCUGCAAUAUAAAAACUGUGUGGGCUUCACCGGCAAUGGAAGACAAGGAGAGUACCCUGGUUACUACUGUGAUGGCCGACCUGGACACUGCACUGACUGUCAAUACUGAAUGCAAGGAGAAUAUUAGUUGUUUUCCACAGUCUUUCACACAUUUCAGUUGCCACACGUUGCUGUU